UGAACGCUGGCAACGUGGAUCAGGCACGCAAGUCAAACGGUCCGCCUUCGGGCAGACAGUGGCGAACGGGUUAGUAACACGUGAGUAACGAACCCUAAAGACGGGCAUAACUCGGAGAAAUCCGGGCUAAUUCCCGAUAGUCCUUUUAUCACUUUGUGGUGAAAGGUAAAUGGAAGUGGCAACACAACCGCUUUAGGAUCGGCUCGCGGCUUAUCAGCUUGUUGGUGAGGUAAUGGCUCACCAAGGCUAUGACGGGUAGGGGGCAUGAGAGUGUGUUCCCCAACAGAGGCACUGCGAACGGGCCUCACUCCUACGGGAGGCAGCAGUCGAGAAUCUUCGGCAAUGGGCGAAAGCCUGACCGAGCGACGUUGCGUGACCGAAGAAGCCCCUCGGGGUGUAAAGGUCUUUUCUGGAGGAGGAACUCGCCUUCGGGCGAGUGACAGUACUCCAGGAAUAAGGGGAUCCUAAUUCUGUGCCAGCAGGAGCGGUAAUACAGAAUCCCCAAGCGUUACCCGGAUUUAUUGGGCGUAAAGCGUCUGUAGGCGGUUAAGAAAGUCUCUGGUUAAAGGCCAUCGGCUUAACCUUUGGACUGCCAGAGAUACUUCUUGACUAGAGGGCGUCAGAGGCUGAUGGAACCGCCGGUGUAGGGGUGAAAUCCGUUGAUAUCGGCGGGAACACCAAAAGCGAAGGCAAUCAGCUGGGGCGACCCUGACGCUGAGAGACGAAAGCUAGAGGAGAGAAGGGGAUUAGAUACCCCCGUAUUUCUAGCUGUAAACGAUGGACACUGGCUAUUGGCAGUGUCGACCCUGUCAGUGGCGAAGCUAACGCGUUAAGUGUCCCGCCUGGGAACUACGGCGGCAACGCUAAAACUCAAAGGUAUAGACGGGGACUUACACAAGCGGUGGACCAUGUGGCUCAAUUCGACAACAAGCGAAGAACCUUACCAGGGCUUGACACCCGCCUGAAAGCUUUCCGAAAGGAGAGUCUCCAUAAGGCAGGCGGGCAGGUGCUGCAUGGUUGUCGUCAGCAUGUGUCUUGAGAUGCACGCUUAAAUGCGGUAACAUGCGCAACCCUUACCCUAUGUUUUAUAUGUCAUAGGGGACUGCCCGAGAUAAUUGGGAGGAAGGUGAGGAUGACGCCAAAUCAGCAUGGCCCUUUGAUGCCCUGGGCUGCACACGUGGUACAAUGGCCGGUACAAUGGGUUCUAAGUGGCAACGCGGAGCUAAUCCCAUCAAAACCGGUCCCAGUUCGGAUUGAGGUCUGCAACUCGACCUCAUGAAGCCGGAAUCGCUAGUAAUCGCCAAUCAGCCAUGUGGCGAUGAAUAUGUCCCUAAGUCUUGUACUCACCGCCCGUCACAUCAAGAAAGCUGGCAGUACCCGAAGCUCCCGCCUCGGCGGGGAUCAAGGUAAGGUCAGUAAU
rnacentral:rRNA from 1 species